ACUUUAUGGGUCUGAGCUUCUUCCAGAGGCCUUGUUUGUUUUGCUUUCCAAAGCCUGGGAAUGUGGUAGUAUGUGGCUUGCUCAUUGCCUUGAAGAGUGACUGAGAUGCCUUGCGAUUUCCUACAACCACUUCGCCAAGUUGCAACUGCUGAAAAACAGCAGCAGUUUUCCACCAUUUGGAGGUUUUCCACGGUUCCCAGCAACCAUUUUCUGAGAUGCUUCCAUAUUUUUAGAAUGCUAUGGCUCAUUAUAAGUGCCAGCGACAUUUUCUUUGCCUGUGCUAAGGAUGAAUAAAUUUUGGCAAUCUAGAAAUUAUAAUUAAGCUCCCAGAAUUACUAAUUUGUGUCUAGGCAAGCGUAAAACAGAUGAAAAUUAGACUUCUAUAACAAUUAAAAAGAAAAAACCCUACUCUUUGAUAAUGUAUCUUCUUAGUUAUUUAAAAAUAUGUCAAUUUUUUUCAAUGUUUGUUUCC